GUAGGUGAACCUGCGGAAGGAUCAUUAACACUAAUUUAUUUUAAAAAUAAACCAAAUAAACCCCUCUCUUUUGGAUGGUGGCCGUAAAAAAGCCCCUCCAUAAGGGAAUGUGUGACACUGUGUAACCUUUUUUUCUCUCUCAUUUACUCUAAAAACCAGUCGAACCCCAGUCAUAAAAAAAACCAAAAAACUAAAAACAAAAAACCAAAAAAAAAUUAAUAAAAAAUACAACUCUUAACAAUGGAUAUCUUGGUUCUC
rnacentral:misc_RNA from 1 species